AUUGAACGCUGGCGGCAGGCCUAACACAUGCAAGUCGAGCGAGCGGCGGACGGGUGAGUAAUGUCUGGGAAACUGCCUGAUGGAGGGGGGUAACUCCUGGAGACGGUAGCUAUUACCGCAUACCAUCAGAUGUGCCCCGAUGGGAUUAGCUGGUAGGUGGGGUAACGGCUCACAUAGGCGACGAUCCCUAGCUGGUCUGAGAGGAUGACCAGCCACACUGGAACUGAGACACGGUCCAGACUCCUACGGGAGGCAGCAGUGGGGAAUAUUGCACAAUGGGCGCAAGCCUGAUGCAGCCAUGCCGCGUGUGUGAAGAAGGCCUUCGGGUUGUAAAGUACUUUCAGCGGGGAGGCGUUACCCGCAGAAGAAGCACCGGCUAACUCCGUGCCAGCCGCCGCGGUAAUAC
rnacentral:rRNA from 1 species